rnacentral:lncRNA from 1 species
AGAUAGAUAGAUAGAUAGAUAGGUAGAUAGAUAGAUAGAUAGAUAGAUAGAUAGAUAGAUAGAUAGAUAGAUAGAUAGAUAGAUAGGAUGGGUACACACACACACACACAGAGAGAGAGAGAGAGAGAGAGAGAGAGAGAGAGAGAGAGAGAGAGAGAGAGAGAUCUUGGCAUUACUCACCUGGUAGAGACUACCUGAGUCUAGUGCCAGAAUUUCUAACAGCCAUGAAUUAUGAAGGCACCUCUCUCUGUAGAUGCCCAGGAGGGAACCAACUGAGUCGUAUGUGUCGAGUGUACUCCUUGUAACAGUUUCAGCACAGCGAGAUGACAUUUGCAGAUGCCAGUCAAGGGCUGACUGUGUUGGAUGGUGGUUACUCAGAAGAGUCUCGGGGUUGCUGUGUUUAUCCUGUGUCUAUCUGCAUCACACCCCAGAGAGGCUAGACCCAGGGCUUUGUGCAUAUUAGGGAAGCAUUCUAUCAUGAGCUCUGCCCCAAGUUGCAGUUUUGCGUGUUUAAAUAUAAAACCAUAGCUUAUCAGGCUACCUCCCAUUCCCCUUGAGAAAAGGGCCCAUAAGAUGUCCAUCUAGUAUCUCAUACCAGAGUGAAAACUUCCACAGCUGGGCAGGAAAUGUACAUGUCUGAGAGAUUCAUCAUCAACCUUUGUGGGUCUGUUACCUGCAACAUCUGUCAAACUUUAAUCUAAGUUAAAAGGGUGGGGCAGAUAUUUGAAUUGGAAGAAAGAUACACUCAAACUUUGUGUUUACCAGUAUAUUAGCCCACUGUUCCUGGCUCUAUUUUAGUAUUCAAGUAAGGCUACUCUAUUUAACUUACAGAUUUAGGGGCUAAAAAGUCAAGAUCGUGCAGCCUAUUGUGUGGCUUUUGGUAAGAGACUGCUGGUAGGUGGCUUCAUGACAAGAGAACGUGUAGGAGGAAGAGAUCAUAUCAUAAGACAGGAAGCCAGCAAUUGGGGUCCCAUGAGAGUUACCAUCAUCCCUCCUGAGGGCAGCUCCCUCUAUGAUCGAGAAUAUCUUAUUCUCAUAUACCAAGUGAAGGACCAGGUUGUCAAUGUGAGAACCCUGAUGGGGUGACACUCAUAGCUAAACCCCAAGUCAGUUGCUCUGUCAUCUCUGUCAGACUCUCUAACACUGAACUUCCUCUUUUAUGAAAUGAGAAUAAAAUUUCUCUCACUGGACUGCAAUGAGAAAUAAAGGACUAUAGAUAAAAAAAAAUACAGUGAAAAUGAUCAUUGUUAAGGUACAGAACUACUGCUCUAUCACCCAUUGUGACUGACCUUCCUCCUACAACACAGUUCUUUCUUUAAGAUUUAUUUUUGUUUUAUGAGCAUGGGUGUUUGCCUGCAUGUGUGCCUGUGCCUGGAGCCCAUGGAGACCAAACGGGGACAUCAGAACUGGAGUUAACAAGUGCUUAGAUGCCACCUUGUAGACUCUGAGACCUGAACCUGGGCCUCAUGAAAAAGCAGCAGGCAAUUUUAACCACUGAACCAUCUCCCUAGCCUCAAUAGGUUCUUUUGUUAUCAACAAAUAGGCAUUUUCCCUACAGUUCUACUGUCUAUGUGUAAUCUAGCUAUUCCCUCUGGAUUAUAUUUCCAAACCACUUUUAACAUCCAAUAGCCAUGUGUCAAAAAUAUGUGAAUAUUUUAUAGCUAGCUAUCAUGAGCUGGAAGAGCGAUGUUGUUGACAAAAGACAGGACUGGCUGUGGUGAUAGCUUCCUCCUGGGUGGAUUCACAAGAGCCCAGUAGGGAACUUUGUGUCCUCACUCACCUUUCUAAAAUGCAAGUUGGCUCUACCCUGGAGCACAGUAAAAGGAGGAGAAAAAAUCCUGUUUGUGUCUCAGAGACCUUCCUUUGCUAUUCUCUUUUCUUUUAAUAUUACAGUAGAAUACUUUAAAAGGUGAUGUUAAGGGCUGGGGAGACAGCUUUGUGGUUAAGAGCACUAGCUGCUGCUCUUCCAGAAGACCCAGGUUCCAUCCCCAGCAACCACAGGGUGGCUCACAACCCCAGUUCUAGGAGAGACAAUGUCCUUUUCUGGUUUCUGUAGGCAGAAAACAUGCAUGCUGUCCACAGACCAACAAAACACCCCGCAAAACACCAGUACUCCUAAAAUAAAUAAAUGAAUUCUUUUUAGGAAAAGGUCAAAGGGCAAUGUCAACUAGUCUCUGUCCUUGCCUGUCAGGUGGAUGUGUGGCCCUUGGUGACUCACAGGGAAAUGUAAACCUUCCUGACUGAGCCUGAGCCCCAGAUCCAGCCUGACCGUAGGCCAAGAGCAGGUGUUUUCCGAGCUGGCUCCUCAGUUUAUCCUGUCUUACAGGCAUCUAUGUGAGGAGUAUACGGGGCAAGACAGGGCGGUUAUUCACUCCCAUGGACUUUGAAAUCGAAGGAAACUGUGAAAAAGCCAAGAACUGGCGGCAAAGCAUCCGCUGCAAGGGAUGGACCCUGAGAGAACUGAUACAGGUAUUCUGCGGGCAGAAAGCGUCUGCGGUUUCUGGAGCCAUGGUAGAUGAAAAGUUUCUGCUGUGUGACAGGCAGCUUCCAAUAUUCUGGGGGAACGGCAACAGAUUCAAGGCUCUCUCGGUGUAGCUGGUAGCUUCAACCAAAGAUUUCACAGGCAUAACUCACUGGUAGAAGAUGUUAGCAGAAUCUCUGUGUCCAUCAUGACUCUUGUUAGCCAGGUUCCAUGGCGUGGGUGUUGCCAGCAUGCCAUGGAGGUGUUUGUGACCUUGGCUGGCUUGUAUUACAGCUUAAUCCUCUUAAAUGGAUUGACUCCCAUCCUUCAGAUGGUAGGAGAACAGACUGUGUGUGGCCUUUUCCAUGAACUGAUUGUAUAAGAUUUGGUAGCAUGGAUAUAAUUUAAAAUCUGACAGGGGGAGGGGCAGGUGUGUCUUUAAACUCGGAGUGUCAGUGAUGAAAGAAAAUAAAUUACAUAUCUGAAAAUAAUUCAACCGCAUGGAUGCCUGAGUUACAGAAUGUCCCAGCAGGAUUUCUUCCAGUAAGUCAUCCCACACUUAGUCUUGAAAAGGAAUAGCUGGGUGUGGUGGCUCACACCUGUAAUCCCAGCCCUUGGGAGACUGAGGCAGAGGAAUUGCCCAGACCUUGUAGUGAGUUUCAGGACAGCCUAGGUCACCAAGUAAUACCCUUAGCUCCCUCUAUGCC